ACGGGAGGCAGCAGUGCGGAAUAUUGGUCAAUGGGCGGAAGCCCGAACCAGCCAAGUCGCGUGAAGGAUGAAGGUAUUAUGUAUUGUAAACUUCUUUAGCUGUGGAGCAAUAAUCUCCAUGUAUGGAGAGAUGAGAGUACACAGAGAAUAAGGAUCGGCUAACUCCGUGCCAGCAGCCGCGGUAAUACGGAGGAUCCGAGCGUUAUCCGGAUUUAUUGGGUUUAAAGGGUGCGCAGGCGGCUUUCUAAGUCAGUGGUCAAAUCGUGGUGCUCAACGCCAUCCCGCCAUUGAUACUGGAGAGCUUGAUUGCGGUCGAGGUUUGCGGAAUUCGUCGUGUAGCGGUGAAAUGCAUAGAUAUGACGAAGAACACCGAUUGCGUAGGCAGCAGACCAGGCCGUAAAUGACGCUCAUGCACGAAAGUGCGGGGAUCGAACAGGAUUAGAUACCCUGGUA
rnacentral:rRNA from 1 species